AUGAUUUUGGGACAAGCCCCAUUGGCAGAGCUUGUUGCAGUGGCAUGUUGGUAUUUAUGGUGGGAAAGAAGGCAAAUUAGUCGUAAUAUUCAGGUGCAGUCCCCAGAAAGAUCUGCGAUGGCAAUCAAGGUGUUAUCUUCAAACUUCAGGUCUGCUACCGUUCCUAAUGCAAGGGUGAGAAAGGAGAGAUGGGCUCCUCCAACAGGUGAUUGUGUCAAGAUAAAUGUUGAUGCUUCCUUUGACCCAGACAUUCUGAGGGGAACUACGGGUGCAGUCAUUCGUGAUAAAAAGGGGAAGUUCAUUGCCGCGUGUAAUGCACGUUUGGAUAUGGUUCAAGAUGUUUUGUCGGCUGAAGCUUUGGCGCUCAAACACGGCCUGUUCUUAGCUAAAUCCAUGGGUUGUAAUAGAGUCGUUGUGAGUUCUGAUAAUACUGAAUUAAUAUAA
rnacentral:rRNA from 1 species